GAAAGUCCAGACAACUGUGCCUGUGCCUGGUGAGGGCUCUCUGGUUGUCUUACACCAUGGCGGAUGGUGUUAUACAGCAAGAGCACAAGCAAAAGAGAGGUAACAUGGCUGGAGCAGAAGCAAGAGAGUAUGCUGAGGAAUCCUGCAAAAAUACUGGGAGAGCCAGGCCUGCUUUAGAUAUGAAUUCUAAGACAACAAUCCACUCUCAAGAGAGCUAAUCCAUUUGGCAAGAUCUACCCCUCUCAGGGAGACAGCACUAACCCACUCAUGAAGGUGGAGCCCCAUAACCUUCUCACCUUCCACAUACAGGUACACCUUUUACAGGUCCUCACUCCUCAAUACCAUGAUGUUGGCCACCAAGCUUCCAGUACAUGAGCCUUUCAGGGACAAAUCACAUAUCCAAUGUAAAGGCAUCCAUAUACAGGAAAGACUCUCUGAAUGCCAUGUGUUUAUGAAGAGCUCAUCUACAAACCUACGUGGGAUUUACAAAGUGUGUACCAAGAAGAACAUGGCACUAUGGAGAAGCAAGAAGUCUCCCUGGCUGAAUAGGAACCUGCACUAGACCGCA
rnacentral:lncRNA from 1 species